CCAACAGAUUUUUUUUCCAAAAAAAGCUAAGAAAAAAAGAAGGGAGAUGCACAAUAAUUUUUGACAUAGACAAAAUGACGUUUCGUUGAUUAAACUGCAACUAGAGGUUGACGCCGCCGAAGUAUCCGGAAAUGUCUAACUGGGUGGGGCAGCGAUUUGACCUUUCGGAAAACUCAGUUAACUAGAGCCAGAUUGGAAGUGGGUGUCAUUGUAGAUGGAAGCGCAAGUCACAACCGGGAAAUGGGUUAAAGGUUAAAGAUUACCUCCCAUAAGAUAUUCUCUAAAAUUUUCAAGAUACAAAUAGGACGAAAAAGGGAAGAUGCGAAUGAAACCAGUCAGAAUCGGCCUUGACUCGAAGACCAAAGUUUUUUGAGAGGGUGGCGAGGUCCUUAAUGGUAUACCAGUAGGGAGAGGAGCAAAGAUAACGCGAAACGAGUAUCAGAGGGUGGGGUCAUUUUCACAGCUAGUGACCUCUAAAUUCCCCAAGAGCGCGCACGUGCCUACAGUAUCUUCUCUCCCGUUUCUCGUCAAGGACAAAAUAUUUUCGCCUGACUAUUAUCAUUUUACGAGGAGACCACGUAUUAAACAUCGAGAUUAAAAUCUAAAAGAGACCGACUGUGUGUUACGACAUCUAGUACCAGUAUGGCAGUGAGGCGGGUCGGAGGCCAAGGCCGAGUAAAUUCGCCCUGUGGGAGUGCCUAUCCAUUCAAAAGCUUCUGUAUGGCUUCUCGACUCGACACUCGACACUCAUCAUACGAAGUUUUAUAACGCUCGUGACUACUAAACUGCUGAUGUGCGUCACGUCGAUACGUGAUUCGACCGCGACCGUGAACCAUACCAGGAAAAGCGACGGAGAAAAUGCGCACCGGUGACAAUCGGGCCUUAUCAGUCGUGUGCAGCACAAAUAAACGGGCUGAAUGCAAAGAAGCGAAUAGAGAGGAGGAGGGAUGCGGGAACGAAGGAAAACGGCAUGAUGUCAAGUUCAAGGAUGCAGAACACGUGACUAAUCUAUGACUUUGCAUGUACAAUCGAAGGAGAUACAUGUAAAUAGAAAAAUCAUGUAAAUAACAUUGAAAUUAAAGUAAAACUCACGGUAUCGAUGGUAAAACGAA